rnacentral:lncRNA from 1 species
CUCAGUUUCACUCAACUCCUGAUCUGCACACCUGACUCUCAUCUCCAGUCAAUCAGCUCAGCGGCCUUCUGCCAUAAAAGAGGCGCCAUCAUUGUCCAUUUGUUGUUCCCCUGCCUGUGGUGCAGCCCGGCUCCAGAACCCUCUGGGUUCUACGUAUCAGUUUGUGUCUGCAGCUCUCAACAACAGUGCUGGUCUUCACAGCCUGGCAGGAAGUCCAGAUUAUCAGGAAUGGGAGAUGAUGGCUGAGCUUCUAGAAGACUCUGGUGGUACUGAGGUUUUUCACAGAUUCAGACGCUUCGACUGAGGAUUUAACGAGCCCCAUCAAAGCUGGAUCCUCCUGGUGGAGGUUCAGUCGCUCGCAGGUGUGAAGCCAGUUGCUAAAGUCUAAGCUUUGCUCCGUCUGAGCCCCCAUUGCAGCCUCAUAGCGAUAUUUGUCAUCUUCAAACGGGUCACACGAGGGAGCUCAGCCAGGCCCCUUAAAAACCUGGUUGGCAGAACAUUCGAGGGGUUGUCACAGCUCCUGGUUUACACGGGAAUGGCACCAUUUUGAAACUUUUUAUUCUUGAAAUAUCAACCCUGGUGGUUCCAAUCAAGAGCUCUGAAGUCCAGGCCUUUACUUCUCAGAACAGUGCCCCCCCCCCCCCCCCCCCCCCCCCCCCCCCCCCCCCCAGGUCCUUUGCAGUUUAGCCCAGUGCUUCUCCUCCAGGUGAGUUUCAACUUUAAUAGUUUUUCGAAUGCACUGCUAGUUUCUGUCAGUUUUUCCAUCAGAAGGGACAUUAGGAGAGAAUGUUGCUGUCUGCAGAGGGGCAACUGUUAUUUUCUGUGUUCAUCGUGCGAGACCGAACUCGGAUUAAUGAUCCGUCUUUGAUCUGUCUUUUUCUUCUGGACCGAGUUGUGCCGAUCAUUCCGGCGCCACGGGAGCGUGACAGACGUGAAAGUGUCACUCGAACUCAUUCCCUCCAACACUUCCCUCGUAACUCUGAUAUUGCUCUCAUUACUCCAUCAAUGGCUGUAGAGGAUCAAUGGCAGGAAUACGAUGUUGGACCAUGCAGAUUUGCUUAUCGCGGGAUAACGGCGUUGAAGUAUUGGAUGGCGGUAGAGUCUGUGUUUUCUGGCGCUGCCGCACAAUGACAAAAGGACGAGUCGCCCCACGCUUGAAUAUUAUGUAAUGUGCAUCCAGUGUUAUCGUGUUUUCGAACAUGACGUAACGCAACACUUGUGCAUGCAUGAGAUGCUGAGCGCCCCCGAUGUGCAAGAACAACUCCUUUUCCUGUGCACACCUGAAGACGAGGUGCCUUUUUGUCCCCGUCUGAUCAUAAGAAUGCU